rnacentral:rRNA from 1 species
UGAGGAAUAUUGGUCAAUGGGCGAGAGCCUGAACCAGCCAAAUCGCGUGAAGGAAGACUGCCUUAUGGGUUGUAAACUUCUUUUAUACAGGAAUAAAAAAGGGGACGUGUCCCUUAUUGCAUGUACUGUAUGAAUAAGCAUCGGCUAACUCCGUGCCAGCAGCCGCGGUAAUACGGAGGAUGCGAGCGUUAUCCGGAUUUAUUGGGUUUAAAGGGUGCGCAGGCGGGCUUUUAAGUCAGCGGUGAAAUCUCGGGGCUUAACUCCGAAACUGCCGUUGAAACUGGGAGUCUUGAGUAUGGAUGAAGUAGGCGGAAUUCGUUGUGUAGCGGUGACAUGCUUAGAUAUAACGAGGAACUCCGAUUGCGUAGGCAGCUUACUAAGCCAUAACUGACGCUCAAGCACGAAAGCGUGGGGAUCAAAACAGGAUUAGAUACCCUGGUAGUCCACGCCGUAAACGAUGAUUACUAGUUGUAUGCGAUAUACCGUAUGUGACUAAGCGAAAGCGAUAAGUAAUCCACCUGGGGAGUACGCCGGCAACGGUGAAACUCAAAGGAAUUGACGGGGUCAUAGCUGUUUCCUG